UCCUUUUUUUUUUUUUUUUUUUUUGUGUGUGGUACCAGGGAUCGAACUCAGAACCUCGAGCUUGUGAGGCAGGCAUGGUGCCACUGAGCUAAAUCCCCAGCCCAGUGUGGGGGUAUUUUGUAGAUGUGCUUAAGUUCCAUAAAUACUUGACUUCUAGAAAGAUUACUCUAGAUAAUCAGGAGUGGUGGUCCUGAUUCAUUCAGUUGAAGAGCUUUAAGAGCAGUACUGUGACUUCCCUGAUAAUGAAGAAAGUCGGCAUAUAGACAGCCUCUUUGACCCAUGCCCACAAGUUGCAGCCUGCCCUUCCUCAUGACCUAUCCUACAGAUUUGGGGGUGAUUAGCUAGACCCCACAACUACAUAAGUCAUAUUCCUGCAAUAAAUCUCUUUAUAUUAGUUUGCUUCUCUGGUAGAAUUCUGACAGAUCCAUUUGACCAUGUGUGGUGUAUGUAGAUGUCUUAUCUUCCCAGCCAAACUUAAGGGCAGAAACUAGAGGGAAUACUAAGUGUUAGGCCUUUUAACAUGUGAACUCAUCUUAUCUUUGAAACCUCCUGUGAGGUUUAUAAUCACUAUUUUACAAAAAAUAACUUGCUAAAACUUAGCUUGGAAAUGGCAAAGUUCAAAGUCAACACUGAAGUUCUCUUACUUCAAAGUGUACAACAUUGAACAACAAAAGCAGAUAUGACCCCUCACCCAAAAAUGGGCAGAGAUGAAAGCUAUGUAAGCCAAGACGGGUUAUGAUAGUUAAACAAAUGUAAGCAGUUUGUCCAAUCCUACUGAUAUCCUGUCAUCCCCAACCCCUACACCCUGAUCUCAGCCUGGAGGCGAUGCCCGACUGGGACAGCUACAGCAGUCUUCUGAGACACCUCUGAAUUACAGAGAUGGACACAGCAGUUACAAGUGUUGGGACACUUGUUCCAAGUCACACCAAAGCAAGUCAAGGGCUUGAGAACGUCCUCUCUAUCCAGUAGGUACAUCAGAGCAUCAUUCAGUGCUGGACGGCCAGCACUGGGGAUUGAACCCACUGGCACAUAUUCUGGUGGGAUAACUGGUGGCAUGCAUGAGGAGAAGAACAUGUCACCGGGAGUCUACCGGAGUCAAGAGUAACUGACAUGGCAGCCCACGUGAACCAAGGAGAUGUCCUGGACCCAAGCUCAGCCUAGCAAAGCUGAGCUCCAGCUGACCCAUGGAUGUUUAUGAGAAAUAAACGCUGACUGUAUGCCACUGAGCUCUGGGGAAAGGUGUUCUGCAGCCCUGCCAUAACAACUAUUAUCUCUUUACAAGAACUACGAGAGGAACUGUUCCUCACUGUGUACACAGAGAGACUGAGAAACACAGAGAGGGUGAGUGUAGGCCAAACUACUUACAAGCAGGAGAAUUAGGAUUUGAAUUGAGGCAACUUGGCUUCAGAGACUAAUAGUUCUAUUUUAC
rnacentral:lncRNA from 1 species